CGGAUUUGGGACCUUUUUGACAAUUUUUACAAAAAAUUAAUGAAAUCUAGAAUUAAUGAAACACAAGUCCUUACACAAUUCUUUCAUUAGCUUCAUUAUCAGAAGCUCAGGGUGUUAUAUGAUAAUUACACAUCCAAAUAUGGGUAAGUUGAGAGCUUAUCUCUCUGCAGCAACCUUUCAAUCUAGUGUUCACGCUUCGUCUUCUUGAUUUGCUCAUCACAGACUACGCAUUCAAUUCCUUAGACAAUCAUGCAAUAAAGACAAGAACCUUACACAAUGAACAAGUCGGCUAUCGCGAGGUUGCUUUCGCUGUCAGCUGCUCGUCGUGAAUGGCAACUGGACGUUGAUCAAGAUCUGGCUGGGUUCGUUCCGUUUGUGUUGUCGAUGGCGUGAGUCGCCGUGUACGUCAGGUUGUGGCCUGUGUGUGUGGUUUGUGGUCGUGGGUUGGUUUGGCUGGGUUGCGUGGUGCGUCAGGUCGCGUGGGUGGGUUGUUUUGUGAUUUGGAAAUUAGGUUUAGCUGUUUAAGUUUUCGAUUUUUCAUUUAAUUUCUGUUUCUUUUUUUUUUUUUUAAGGAGCAGUGCAAUCCAAUCGGAUUAUUCGGAUUAAUCCGAUCGAAUUGCACAAAUUACAUCCGAUCAGAUUUGAAGCAAAAUCCGAAUCCGAUCUGAAUUUAUUCAGAUCGGAUCGGAUCUAUCCAAAUCCGAUCCGAUGGCCACCCCUAGUUGUAAGCAUAUCAUUGUAAAAGGGGGAGAAAAAUUAAGGGUGGGAAUAUAAUAUAUUUAACAAUAGGGGUGUCUUAAGAUAUUUUUUAAAAUAAAAUAACUAAACGGACUCUUAGAGUAAAAUAUAAGGACUAAACGAAUAUUUACAUUUUUUUAAAUUUAUACAUCACCAAUGAGUGAAAUUUAAAUAAGAGAAGAUCAAAUCAUGAGAAGAUCCUGAUCUAGGCUAGAGGCGCGUCCAACCACCACAUAAGUCCACCACUUAUUGGUUCCUAGCUACGAUUUGUGCACAUAAGAAUGACAUCUUCGUAUCAUUUUUAUCAUAAAUUCAUGGCACUUCAAGGAAAUUUCUAAGCAUACUUCUACAGAGAUAUUUCAAAGAAAUUAGUUCACUUUAUAGCAGAAGAUCAUGAUGUCAUUUUUUCUGCAAGAUUUCCUACCAAAAUUUUUCAAAUUUUUUAAUAGAUAUUCUCUUUGCUAGCUUAAUAUUCAAUCAAGUCCAGGUGUGCAGAAUAUGUAUAAAUAGGGACCAAUUGCUGUACUUGUUCUAUAGUUCUAUGAACCCCAAUGCCAUUGUGCAUGUGUCAAUGUCUCAAUCUAGCUCCAGCUGACUACACUGACUCAGUUAAUUUUUAUGUUCAUCAUCAUAGAGGGAAAAAAAAUCGUACAUUAAUGAUGAAUUUUUUUUUUCUAAUAAGGUUGUUGUUGUUAUUGGUGGUGUUGUUGUUAGGACCUUUACCUUCAUCUUGUUGAGGUACGUCUUAUUAUUUACAGUAAUCAAUAACAUGAUUAAUGCUUUUUAAUUGUUACUUGGCAGCAAUGUUUGUUGUAGAAAACUUUGCAAUCACUAGCCGAUUUUCUGUUACAAAAACAGUGAUUAUUACUUGAAAGAAAAGCUUCCAAACUUUGUAAUCAGUUUCUUGAAUUGAAUAUCACCUAAUCUACGUUUGGCAGUUGGAAUUAGGCAGGAUUGGACUAACUUUUAGAAUAAAUUUUUUUUAUCUUAUCCAAGGUCAUGUUUAGUUGCUUAAAACUAACAAAUUAAUCCAACAUUCAGUCCAAAGAUUUUGGAACUAUUAGUCUCUAUUAUUUCAUGAGUUUAGAUAAGAC
rnacentral:lncRNA from 1 species